GACACCAUAGCCAAGUGGUUACGGCGACAGAUUCGAAUUGUACGAUUAUCUGUUUCCCUUGUGGAGCGCAGGUUCGAAUCCUGCUGGUGUCG
rnacentral:tRNA from 1 species